GGAGUUAGCCGGUGCUUCUUCUGUGAGUGAUGUCCUUCCUGCCGGUUAUUGACCCGCAGGCCUUCUUCCUCACUGAAAGUGCUUUACAACCCGAAGGCCUUCUUCACACACGCGGCAUGGCUGGAUCAGGGUUGCCCCCAUUGUCCAAUAUUCCCCACUGCUGCCUCCCGUAGGAGUCUGGGCCGUGUCUCAGUCCCAGUGUGGCUGAUCAUCCUCUCAGACCAGCUACGGAUCGUCGCCUUGGUGAGCCGUUACCUCACCAACCAGCUAAUCCGACAUAGGCUCAUCCGAUAGCGCGAGGCCCGAAGGUCCCCCGCUUUCCCCCGUAGGGCGUAUGCGGUAUUAGCCUGGGUUUCCCCCAGGUUAUCCCCCACUACCCGGGCAGAUUCCUAUGCAUUACUCACCCGUCCGCCGCUCGCCACCAGGGAGCAAGCUCCCCGUGCUGCCGCUCGACUUGCANGUGUAGUCGUCGCGCCACGCGUCUAUACUCGAACCGAACGAUACAACUUACUCGA
rnacentral:rRNA from 1 species